CCUACGGGAGGCAGCAGUGGGGAAUAUUGCACAAUGGGCGCAAGCCUGAUGCAGCCAUGCCGCGUGUGUGAAGAAGGCCUUCGGGUUGUAAAGCACUUUCAGCGGGGAGGAAGGCGGUGAGGUUCAUAACCUCAUCGAUUGACGUUACCCGCAGAAGAAGCACCGGCUAACUCCGUGCCAGCAGCCGCGGUAAUACGGAGGGUGCAAGCGUUAAUCGGAAUUACUGGGCGUAAAGCGCACGCAGGCGGUCUGUCAAGUCGGAUGUGAAAUCCCCGGGCUCAACCUGGGAACUGCAUUCGAAACUGGCAGGCUAGAGUCUAGUAGAGGGGGGUAGAAUGCCAGGUGUAGCGGUGAAAUGCGUAGAGAUGUGGAGGAAUACCGGUGGCGAAGGCGGCCCCCUGGACAAAGACUGACGCUCAGGUGCGAAAGCGUGGGGAGCAAACAGGAUUAGAUACCCGAGUAGUC
rnacentral:rRNA from 1 species